CCUCGUCCAUCAGCUGCGGGCAGAUGAAGUGCACGUGACAGUCGAUGGCGCCCGCGGUGAGGAUGCGCCCGUUGCCGGCGAUGAUCUCCGUCGAGGGGCCGACCACGAGAUCGGGGUGCACACCGGACAUGGUGUCGGGAUUGCCGGCCUUGCCGAUGCCGCAGAUGCGACCGUCGCGGAUGCCGAUGUCGGCCUUGACGAUUCCCCAGUGGUCGACGAUGACGGCACCGGUGAUGACGGUGUCCGGCGCGCCGUCGGCGCGGGUGGCACGCGACUGCCCCAUGGACUCG
rnacentral:sRNA from 1 species